rnacentral:rRNA from 1 species
AUGGAUGCAAGCCAUCCCUAUGUGCUCUUCCUUGCACUUCUAGUCAUCAUCCCACUGGCAUACUUCACCCUUUCAGCUCGCCGGCAAGUCGGCCCGAGGCUGCCGCCGGGGCCAUGGGCACUCCCGAUAAUCGGCCACUUGCACCACAUGAUUGGCAAACUUCCGCACCACAGGUUGUGUGAUCUUGCCCAGCGCCACGGCCCGCUGAUGCUGCUCCGGCUCGGCGGCCUGCCCCUAGUGGUGGCAUCGUCGGCGGAGGCGGCCCAUGAGGUCUUGAGGACGCACGACAUCGUCUUCGCCACACGCCCCAUCAGCAGGACUAUGAAGCUGAUCAUUGUUGAUGGCUCGGAGGGCCUCAUCUUCGCCCCCUAUGGCAGCGCUUGGAGGCAGCUCCGCAAGAUUUGCACCAUCGAGCUGCUCAGCGCACGCCGCGUCCAGUCCUUCAGAGGCAUCCGCGAGCAGGAGGUCCAGCACCUCCUUCAGGCCGUGGCAUCGACGCCAUCGCUGUUGGCCGUGAACCUCGGCACACUAUUGUCAUCGUAUGUGAAUGACUCCACGGUACGUGCCAUGAUAGGAAGUCGGUUCAAGGACCGGGAGACGUUCCUCCGGUUAAUGGAGGAAGGUAUCGAGCUAUUCUCGAGGCCGGGCUUGCCGGACCUCUACCCAUCAUCCCGGUUAGCGAUGCUCGUUAGCCGGAUGCCACGCCGGAUGAAGCGGCAGAGUCAGGCAAUGAUGGCUUUCAUGGAAACCAUCAUCCAGGAGCAUCGAGUGCCCAGAGCCGCAUGUGACAAGGAGGAGGACUUGGUUGACGUCCUCUUGAGAAUCCAGAACCAAGAUGACCACUUGGAGUUCGCGCUCACCACAGACAACAUCAAAGCAGUGAUGGCGGAUAUGUUCAUUGCAGGUAGCGAGACAUCAGCAACGAUGUUGGAAUGGUCCAUGGCCGAGCUCAUGAAGAACCCUAGGGUGAUGCAAAAGGUGCAGGAAGAAGUCCGGCGAGUGCUCAAGGGACAAGCAACAGUAACAGAGGAGAGCUUGAGAAGUUUAAAUUACCUGCACCUUGUCAUCAAAGAGACUCUUCGGCUGCACCCACCGGUGCCACUCCUGCUACCAAGGGAGUGCCGCGCACCAUGCCAAAUACUAGGAUAUGACCUGCCAGUGGGGGCUACGGUGCUUGUGAAUGUCUGGGCCAUCAGCAGAGAUUCGAUACAUUGGGAAAGGCCAGAGGAGUUCAUGCCUGAGAGGUUUGAGGUCAACAACAUUGACUUCAAGGGGGCAGACUUUGAGUACACACCAUUUGGAGCAGGACGGAGGAUGUGCCCUGGGAUGACCUUUGGGCUGGCAAACAUGGAACUUGCGCUUGCUAGCCUUCUAUACCACUUUGACUGGGAGUUGCCACACGGGAUCGCCCCGGCGGACGUUGAUAUGACAGAGGCCCUGAGAGCCGUCUCGAAGCGGAAAGACGGUCUUCUGGUUGUCCCGGUUGUUAGCGUACCAAUAUGA